CAGGCAAUAACCACUAGUUGAGUUUGAUACAGCUAUCAAGACACACUGAUGGAACAUGGCAGUGAUGAAAAGAAAUACAGCAAAAGACCACGGCGGAACUGUAUGUUGAAGUCUGGAGAGGUCUCAUCACAGACAGUAGCAAAGACAUAAUUACAAGUCCCCGAGAAAUCAUACAGUUUCAUACCUUGUGAGCUGAGAACUCUGUAGUAGAGCUUGGAGUAGAACAAGAAUCAAAGGAUAAUCGCAUUACCAGCUGCAUAAUCCAAGAAAUGUGAAGCAGAUAAUUUCACUUAAGAAUGCACACACACACAAAAAAAAUUCUUGAACAUCCAUGC